GUGGGGAAUAUUGGACAAUGGGCGAAAGCCUGAUCCAGCCAUGCCGCGUGUGUGAAGAAGGUCUUCGGAUUGUAAAGCACUUUAAGUUGGGAGGAAGGGCAGUAAGUUAAUACCUUGCUGUUUUGACGUUACCGACAGAAUAAGCACCGGCUAACUUCGUGCCAGCAGCCGCGGUAAUACGAAGGGUGCAAGCGUUAAUCGGAAUUACUGGGCGUAAAGCGCGCGUAGGUGGUUCGUUAAGUUGGAUGUGAAAGCCCCGGGCUCAACCUGGGAACUGCAUCCAAAACUGGCGAGCUAGAGUAUGGCAGAGGGUGGUGGAAUUUCCUGUGUAGCGGUGAAAUGCGUAGAUAUAGGAAGGAACACCAGUGGCGAAGGCGACCACCUGGGCUAAUACUGACACUGAGGUGCGAAAGCGUGGGGAGCAAACAGGA
rnacentral:rRNA from 1 species